rnacentral:lncRNA from 1 species
UGAUGUGUGGUUUGGCAUUGUCCUGUUGUAUAAAUAUGUUCUUGCUUAAUCCAGCAGGCCACUUAGCCUUAAUGAUUGGUAUCAUCUGCAGUUUGGUAAGUUAUAAGUCUACACUAAAUGAUGAAUGAUGACAAAACAUUUAUUCUGAUAGUGAAAAAAAAUCAAAUAAACUUACCUGAUUGAUAAAGCAUUCCUUCAUGACAGCCUUUGUGAUAGAAUGGAUUGCCUUUGUUUCAAUUGUGCCCUUGGCUCUGUUUUUUGAGUUUCUAGUUGCUGCCUCUUCUGUUGUGAAUGGAAAUAUACCAAUUUUGCCAUCAAAUAUGAUUUCUCCAUUGCUGUCAAUAAUUGGCCUAGAAAUAGCACACAAGAACAUUAUUUUGUCAAUAAAUCUCUUUGAUUUGCAUGAUCUGUGUGGCUCAAUCUCAUUCGGCAAUAGGUAGUAUCUGUCUGCUGUUUUGGUUAAGUAAAACCACUUUUCAUCAACAUGUAUGGUGUUAUACAUGGUCUGAAAUUUGAACUUUCCACCCUCAUUCAAUGGAAUGAGCUGACUGAGGCUCCAUCUAAGUCUCAACAACAUAUUUUGGGAGGUGAGAAAUGGUUUUAUUGCAUUAGUGUGUGGCCUUAUCUUCUUUUCCUUCACCCACCUAUGAAGCAAGCUUUUACUAACGCCUAACUUACCUGACAUUAUUCUGAGGGAUGAUCUUUCUAACACUGACAUAUUUCUGACUUUCUCAACAUCAAGUACCUGUUUGUCUUUAUGUUUGACACCUUUCUUCAUUGAUACUAGGUGAAUUGGUCUUCCCAAUAGUUGCUGUGCAGCUGCUGAAUUCCAGAUGCGCCAAAUGGUCUUUGCAUCAACUUGGAAUUUUUGUGCAGCUUCUUUUUUAGCUCCAUAGCGAAGAUCUCCAUCGCUGCUGUGUUGUAGAAGCCAUUGUGCAACAAUAUUUCUUUCUUCAUCAGUCAAAUUUGGCCUAGUUCUUAUGACUGCCAUGCUUUCCUUUCUCGGUGUAUUUAUUGUAGUUGUGGUUGUAAUGGAUAGAAAAUGGAAUCUGUUGUGUAUUUAUUACAGUUGAAUUUGACCGCCACUUUUUUUGCCACCAAAUUUGGCCUCUUAAAUGAAUGAAAAAGUUACUUUUUCCCACCAAAUUCAAGUGU